rnacentral:rRNA from 1 species
CAAUAGCCUAACGGCUGAACCAGCAACUUGGAGGAAUGAAAAGCAAUAGCUGAUUGCAUUUAAUUUAAUGUAGUUACUACUUGGUAGUUUAAAAUUCUAGGUAGAAUUAUGAUGAUGACAUUAUCUAUCUAUUAGUCUUGACCAAAUUACGUGCCAGCAGUCGCGGUAAUACGUAGAAGACAAGUGUUAUUCAUCUUUAUUAGGUUUAAAGAGUACCAAGACGGUUAAUAAAGCCCAAAAAAAAUGAAUACGGGGGACACAUUGACUAGAGUUAUAUGAAAGGAAGCUAUAAGGUACUGUUGAGUGUAGAGAUGAAAUUCUAUAAUACCAGAUAAUUGGCACAGAUUUAUGCGAAGGCAUCUUCUUAUGUAAUAACUGACGUUGUAGGACGAAGGCUUAGAAAGUUAAAAGGAUUAGGUACCCCAGUAAUCUAGGCAGAAAAUGAUGAAUGUCAUAGGUUGAAUACAGACAGGUUAAAUUUACUAUCUAAUAGUAAAUUGGUGGUAUAUUAAUCAGUCUAUUUUUGUGUCUAUAAAUGAAAGUGUAAGCAUUCCACCUCAAGAGUAAUUUGGCAACAUUGGAACUGAAAUCAUUAGACCGUUUUUGAAACCAGUAGUGAAGUAUGUUGUUUAAUUAGAUGAUACACAAAAACCUUACCACAAUUUGAAUAUAUAUAAUAUAUAUUUAUUUCAAUAUAUAUAAAAUAUAUUUACAAGCGCUGCACGGCUGUCUACAGUUAAUGUCGUGAGACUUUGGUUAGUUCCAUUAAAUUGACGUAAACCCUAAUUUUAUUUAUAAAUAAAAUUAACAUCGCUAUAAUUGAUAUUUUAAAUGGGAACAUGACAAGUCAUCAUGGCCUAAACUAUUGUGGGCUAUAGA